rnacentral:rRNA from 1 species
CGCGUAGACGGUUUUGUAAGUCAGAUGUGAAAUCCCUGGGCUCAACCUGGGAACUGCAUUUGAAACUGCAUGGCUAGAGUAUGGUAGAGGGAAGUGGAAUUUCCGGUGUAGCGGUGAAAUGCGUAGAUAUCGGAAGGAACACCAGUGGCGAAAGCGACUUCCUGGACCAAUACUGACGUUCAUGUGCGAAAGCGUGGGGAGCAAACAGGAUUAGAUACCCUGGUAGUCCACGCCAUAAACGAUGACAACUAGAUGUUGGGAGGGUCUGCCUCUCGGUGUCGCAGCUAACGCGUUAAGUGUCCGCCUGGGGAGUACGGCCGCAAGGUUGAA